rnacentral:rRNA from 1 species
CCUACGGGCGGCAGCAGUGAGGAAUAUUGGUCAAUGGACGAGAGUCUGAACCAGCCAAGUAGCGUGAAGGAUGACUGCCCUACGGGUUGUAAACUUCUUUUAUAUGGGAAUAAAAUGUUCCACGUGUGGGAUUUUGUAUGUACCAUAUGAAUAAGGAUCGGCUAACUCCGUGCCAGCAGCCGCGGUAAUACGGAGGAUCCGAGCGUUAUCCGGAUUUAUUGGGUUUAAAGGGAGCGUAGGUGGAUUGUUAAGUCAGUUGUGAAAGUUUGCGGCUCAACCGUAAAAUUGCAGUUGAAACUGGCAGUCUUGAGUACAGUAGAGGUGGGCGGAAUUCGUGGUGUAGCGGUGAAAUGCUCAGAUAUCACGAAGAACUCCGAUUGCGAAGGCAGUUCACUGGACUGCAACUGACACUGAGGCUCGAAAGUGUGGGUAUCAAACAGGAUUAGAUACCCUAGUAGUC